rnacentral:sRNA from 12 species
UUUUUGUAAGGCAAUAAUUAGCAACUCAGUGAAGAGGGUGUAGUUAGCCUUGCUGAGACCGGGUUAGAUGUGUAGUUUUUGUUAUACGGGAUACUGUAUAAUAGAGGCUUCCUGUUGAUAGCGAUUGAUACGGGAUAGAGACAGAUGUCUUAAAUGCAAGAUUCGGGUGCCGAUCUAUACGAGCAAAUAGUAAAUCCAACGAGUCGGAGCGACAAUCGCAUAAGUUCACGUGAAAGCGGGGACUGACGCGGCUCUUUCGCGCCACAUAGGGAUAUGUGGGGAACGCUAAGAGAAUUCCAAAACAAGCUCUUGCCGAUGACCCGGAGAAAUCCGGCUAUAAGACAAAACAGGAUUGUGCGAGUAACAUAGGGGCUAAAUUUGAUUUUUCGAGAGUUGUCGAAUUACAAGUUUGAAAAAUUCUGAAUAACGUGUGAAAGUUGGGGGUAUCAUUCCCCUCAGAACGUAGGGCGAAAGCCGAGGUGUACAGGUUAUGACGACGGUCAGAAGCUUCAGGUACAUCCCCUCUGUGACUGAACAUUGCGUAGUAUAGGUUUAGGUAGGGUGAAGAUCCGCUAAUUAUUGUAUUUUUAU